GGUUUUCUGUCGCUCAGUUGGUAGAGCAUUGUGCAAACAAUGCAGAGGUUGUGGGUUCAAACCCCAGUGAAAGCA